rnacentral:rRNA from 1 species
UACGUAUGGUGCAAGCGUUAUCCGGAUUUACUGGGUGUAAAGGGAGCGCAGGCGGCACGGCAAGCCUGAUGUGAAAGCCCGCGGCCCAACCGCGGGACUGCAUUGGGAACUACCGGGCUGGAGUGCCGGAGAGGUAGGCGGAAUUCCUAGUGUAGCGGUGAAAUGCGUAGAUAUUAGGAGGAACACCAGUGGCGAAGACGGCCUACUGGACGGUGACUGACGCUGAGGCUCGAAAGCGUGGGGAGCAAACAGG